rnacentral:ncRNA from 1 species
UUUUGGUUCUGUGCUUGGCUGAUAAGCCAUGGUGCGAAGCUACCAUCUGAGGGAUUAUGACUGAACGCCUCUAAGUCAGAAUCCCGCCUGGAAAGCGACGAUGCAUUCGUGCCUCGGCCUCGAGAGGCGUAGCUAGACGGCCGCGUGGCCGUGGAAAGAGCCCGAUUCCGACCCGAGAGGCCGCGGCAAGAGGCGGCCUCGAAGUCGGUGGAUCCUCCUGCUCGAAAGGCGGGGUGCUAAACCAUUCGCAGACGACCUAGUUGAAGAUCGGGGUGUCGUGAUCACUAGAGCAGUACAUCUCACUGCGAUUUGUUGAGAGUAAGCCUCAAGAUCUGUCGGUUUGU